UACGGGGGGGGCAAGCGUUGUUCGGAAUUACUGGGCGUAAAGGGCUCGUAGGCGGCCAACUAAGUCAUACGUGAAAUCCCUCGGCUUAACCGGGGAACUGCGUCUGAUACUGGAUGGCUUGAGUUCGGGAGAGGGAUGCGGAAUUCCAGGUGUAGCGGUGAAAUGCGUAGAUAUCUGGAGGAACACCGGUGGCGAAGGCGGCAUCCUGGACCAUAACUGACGCUGAGGCGCGAAAGCUAGGGGAGCAAACGGG
rnacentral:rRNA from 1 species